GGUUAACUGGACAGGGUUGAAUAGCCCUGUGAGGGGAGUGCCUUCAGGCCACAUGACAGAAAUGAAAUAGGAGUCAUAAUGGCCACACUGGAGGAGAAUCAGAUUUUUCUCAAGAGGUCCAGUCCUGGUUUGUUUCUUGGAGAUGCCUUGGAUCAUCCUUUCUCCCUUCAUAAAGACAUGUUACACAAAUAAAUGUUGGGAAAUAAUGCAUUAUUCCCCAUCACCUUUCACCUGGA